rnacentral:misc_RNA from 1 species
ACGAGAACUUGCCCUUCGGGGUAGAUCUCCCACCCUUUGUUUACAAUACCAUUGUUGCUUUGGCAGGCCCGUCUUCGGACCACCGGCUCCGGCUGGUCAGUGCCUGCCAGAGAACCCAAAACUCUCUAUAAUUUAUUGUCUGAGUACUAUAUAAUAGUUA